rnacentral:ribozyme from 1 species
UAAAACGGAAGAAGGCUUGCAGUUUUGUAGGCUUCGUUAGUUUCGAUUUUUUUUUUCCGACGAGGUCGACUCGAAUUGGUUUUUUUUUCCGUUAGUUAUUAUACUUCAGUACCGGUAGUUAGUUAGUAAAAUCACGGGGAAGAAAA